CUUAAAAUACCCAUAUUAUCAGUAAUAAUAACCCAAUUAUCAUAGGAAUGUUGAGAAAUGUAUUCGAGAGCUGAAAAUAUUCCAAUUGACUCUGCCGUAUAAAUGGAAGCAUUAUUAGGCAGUCUACACCCAUGGCCCGUUUUGGCUUCUAAAUCAUAAAUAGCCAUUGAGAUAGCUGACGUUGACGUAUUCUUUGAACUGUGUAUAAAUUUGCUUGUAACCUCUGUAUGAUUCUAAUUUGUUGUAAACAUCCUCUUUAAAUUCAAGAGAUUUAUCUAUAACAAUUUUAAUAGGAUAAAAUUUGUUUCGUAAGAGCCUGAAUAGCAUGGCAGGAUUACACUUUCAUAAAGAUUGUUUUGAAGUUUGAAUUCGACAGCUUCUUUAAGACAUUCUGUUAAGUUUGAAGAAGAAUUUAUUAACUUUGGCAUUAAGGGGUGACCUAUAGAAGAACAAAUUUUGAGCAGAAUUUUAUAGUUAAGAUAACGGAAUCUUAUGGCUAGAGGAGGAAAUCCCAAGCUGAUUAGAGUGACAGAAAGAACAUGCAAGUUAACAUUAUUAAAAGCACCAACUACAUCAAAGAAGACACAAGCCAGAAUUUUAUUGUUUGAAUGUCCAAAUUCAAGUGACACAGACUUUCUCGAGCUGAUCGACCAUGGCGAAAUCCAAAUUGAUUAUAAGGCAAUAAAUGGUUACUCUCUACAUAAAAUUCAA